UAGGUCAGGAAUGCAAUAACAGUGAUUAUUAAUUUAGCCCGGCUUCCAGAGAAUAAUACAUAUAUACGUUUAUUGCAAAGAGUUAUUUUACGAUAUAACAAAUUAACCAAAAUUCAUCAGGGUUGUAUAAGACAUAUAAAAAGGAAAAAUACAAAUAAGUCAAAUUUCUUUCUAAAAAGGUCUUUGGGUUUUAACUGUACCUUCCCCUAAAGCUCCGUUGUUGCACUCAGGUCCUUCGGGUCCAUUGAAAGACACUUUACAGGAGUAUCUUAAAGUACUCACGUGCGCAUUGAAGAAUGCCCAUUUCAGUGCCCUCAGUGCUCAACAUGCUGGAGAUCUUAAAAACACUAUAUUCAAGUGGGGGAUGAGGUAAUGAUACAGAAAAUAGGGAACUUAGGACUAAUGUCCUCCAGGUAUGAGGGUCCUUAUUCGGUGUUGUUGACUACUCCAACAUUUCUUCUUGUUGAAAUUGAGCCAGGGCUGACUCGAUGGAUGCAACUUGCACAAGUGAAGCCUCUGUCGCCGCUUGCUGAUACUAACUCUCUUUCUAAUGUGAUUUAGUCCAACAGGUGCAGUAUUUUAUAUCCAAGGAAUGGCUGCUAAGGAAGAACAAUGACUAAUUGUUUCCUCUCUUUAGGUUCUCAACUAUGAUUCCAUCCGGACCUGUUGUGUUAAUAAUAAAAAAAAAAAAAAAAAAAAGAGAGAGACUGAAAACCAUGGUGUUUAUGUUUGUGUGUAUUGGUGUUGUCCUGUUUGGUUGUCUAUGUGUCGUUGUGUGUGUUGUGUUUUUAUCCCAAAAUUUCUGCUCCUACUAUUCUUUAUCUCUAAAAGGUACGAGUGCAUGCUGUCACAGAAAUAUUCUGCGACUGGUUCUAAGGGUGACUCUUUGAUGUGACUUCUGCAACAGUGCAGCUCAUUGACAUUCUGGGAGUGGUUGCUGUGCUCGUGGCUGGACAUCAGUGUUCAUCGCAUCAUCAUAACAUUACUCGUUAACUAAUUCUACGUCAUCAUCUGAGAGACCUGUGCUAAAAUCUAACCAGCUGAUAGAUAUACAUAGAUUUACAAAUUCCUACAUUAAGAUGCCUUAAAAGAUUGUUGAUCAAAGAGAUUCUUAUUCUCCCAUUUAUACCAGUAGUCGUGAGGAAAUCUAUACCUUGCAGGUGAAGGGUAAGGAAAGGAAAGGUAUGAGAUGUUGAAAACGAUCAACGAAAGUUUGGAAAUAAACGACAUGGUACCAUAAGGACAAAUAUCUUCAACUACUAUCUCCCAAGGGCAAGAAGAGAAAGAACGAUGAUAGAGUUUAGAGUUGGGAAAGAUGGAAGGCUGUGGUAAGUCCUCAACCCAGCAAAAGUCCAGGGGACGCCAGGGGUCGAAUUUCCUUAGGAGUUCUCGUCUGGCCAUCUUGGUGAAGAUCUUUGUUAAUUUUAAGGUAGCUGGGGUUAGAGAGGUAUCUACAGUACUAUCUGUCUGAAAUUGUUUUAUUGAUUUUCUAUAUUUUCAUGUAUGCAUCAUGUAUUUUUCUUUUGAAUUACUCUGUAUUUUUUGGUUUUGAUUUAAGGAAAAGGUUGUGGCGAGUCUUUUGAUAAGACUCGAGUGGGGGAUUGGUGUGUGGAGAUUCUAAGAAAUCCACAUGGUGAUAGAGAUUCUGAGAAGAAGUCCACGUAUUUAAAUUAAACCCAAGUGUUGUUGAGAGAUUCUGAGAAGUCACGUACUCAGAAUGUGUUCUAUUCAUAAUGAUAAGUUUCAUUUCAAAAGUUAAAAAAAUAAUAUUUCAUGUCUCAUAUAUAUAUAUAUUAAUAGGUUUCAUUUUUAUAUUCAAAAAUGUUUUUGGUAAACUUUAUGGUAUAUUUCAUAUGUAAUUUCACAGUAUUUCUAACUGCGUAGUCAGCUGAGUCUGUUUUGCAUAUGAAGUUGAACUGUAUGUAUUGUUCUUUUGUAUCAAUAUUUCUUAGAAUUAUCAGUAUGAUACUUUGAAUCUAAAAGAGGAAGAAGUCCAAAAUCGAGACAUUGACUAGACUAGUUUUAAAGGUCAGGUGUUAUUAGUGAUAGCCAGAUGACGACUUAUGUCUAGAACAACAGUAUAUAAGAUAGACUCUGCAAAAUAGAAGGGGGUUUUGACUUUCUGAGACUCUGGUCUCUCUAUCUUUUCAGCUCAUUUCCUCUUCUUUGGCUUCACUCGACAACUCUUAGAUUCAGACUUAGAACUCUUACAGGUUUUUAUUCAAAUUCAGAUACCUUGAAAUUCAGAUACUUUGAUACUCUGAUACUUUGAUAUUUUAAUAUUUUAAUACUUAAUAUUUUGGUACUUUUGAUUCGAACAUAAUAAUUGUUUAUGUUUUAAUUACAAUUGUAUUAAUGUUUUGAUUAAUACUGGUUGGGUUCAAUCCAUCAUAAAUGGAUUGUUAUUAAAAAUGUACUAACAUUGGAUUUACAUUUUCUAUAUUUGAAGGUUGUUAUUAUUAUCCAGAACUUUAUUUCCAAGUUAUGAUUUGUGGUUUCUGUUCUCUAUAUUCUUUUUAAUAAAUUUACAUAUCAUUACACCUUGACCGUCUGAAUUGGAUUAAAUUUUGCAUCAGUUAAUA
ensembl:lncRNA